rnacentral:tRNA from 1 species
UGGCUCAGAGGUUAAGAGCAUUGGUUGUUCUUCCAGAGAACCUGGGUUCAAUUCCCAG